rnacentral:rRNA from 1 species
GAGUUUGAUCCUGGCUCAGGAUGAACGCUAGCGGAACGCCUAACACAUGCAAGUCGAACGGUCGCCUCGGCGACAGUGGCAAACGAGCGAGUAACGCGUACCUAAUCUGCCCUUGAGUUGGGAACAACUACGGAGACGUAGCUAAUUCCCAAUAUGCUCACGAUGGUGAAAUUCCGAUGUGAGGAAAGAUUUAUCGCUCAAGGAGGGGGGUGCGUCCUAUCAGGUUGUUGGUAGAGUAAUAGCCUACCAAGCCUAUGACGGGUAGCCGGUCUGAGAGGAUGUCCGGCCGCGAUGGGACUGAGAUACGGCCCAUACUCCUACGGGAGGCAGCAGUGGGGCAUUUUGCACAAUGGACGCAAGUCUGAUGCAGCGAUUCCGCGUGGAGGAUGAAGCAUUACGGUGUGUAAACUCCUUUUCUGGUGGAAGACGAAUGACGGUACACCAGGAAUAAGAGACGGCUAACUACGUGCCAGCAGCCGCGGUAAUACGUAGGUCUCAAGCGUUAUCCGGAUUUACUGGGCGUAAAGAGUCCGUAGCCCGAUAUGUAAGUCAGUUUUCAAAUACCCCGACUCAAUCGGGGAAAGGGAAUAGAUACUGCAUAUCUAGAGAGUAUUGGAGGUUAGUGGAAUUUCCGGUGGAGCGGUGAAAUGCGUUGAUAUCGGAAAGAACGCCGAAAGCGAAAGCAGCUAACUAUGAUCACUCUGACGGUGAGGGACGACAGCAUGGGGAGCAAACGGGAUUAGAUACCCCGGUAGUCCAUGCCGUAAAUUAUGUCUGCUAGGUGUUUCUCCGGUAAUUAUAUUUGUAUCGUAUAAAUGUAAUUACCGGAGGAGUGCCGUAAUCUAACGAGUUAAGCAGAUUGCCUGGGUAGUAUAUUCGCAAGAAUGAAACUCAAAGGGAUAGGCGGGGGAAC